ACAUUUUGUGCCCUCCCCGCCUCCAAAUUGCCUCAGUUACAAAUCAGAAGGCAGGCUUGGUGACCAGGACUGGCAAGCACAUUUUAAAGUCCCAUGCUGUGGAGUUGAUCCAUCUCAACUUGAGUCAGAAGAGGCAGAAGUGGAUGUGAGAGAAAGAGACACACAGAGAGACAGAGAGCCAAAGAGGGCAAGAGACUUGACUUUAAGAGACUCCUGUACUGACAACUCCAUGCAGUUCGGAGCCAGAACGACUGCGGCUGGACCAGGGUUCAUGGGGACAUGGCAAAAUGCUGAUACUAACCUCUUAUUCAGAAUGUCCCAACAGGCGACUUGCCAUUAUACGGUCAAGAGAGAUUCCGAGGGAGCAGCCAGAUGGAGUUCUCCACAGACUGACUGGAGCCAACUGAGGAGACAGAGAUUCUAAGCUGAAUGAGAUGUACCAGGCUGAAAGACUGGUCAACACACUGGUCCUGCAGUUGGCAUUCCAGGACCCUUAGCCAUUUUAUCCAGAGAUAUCUGAAAGAGAACAUGAUUGGACAGUGGUUGAUGGAAGUCCAGGAAAAGGAGGAAGCAGUGGAUUCCACAGUUAUCAUGAACUAACAUACAAGUCUGGUUUCAUGGUGACUCAGGGCAGCUUCUCAAGUGUACAGUAGAGAAAAUGGCUAUACAAUUGUAAACAACCAUUUUGCAGUAUGUGUGUCUACAUGUGCCUCUCUGUCACGGGAGGUUUCUCCAAUUGUGUCUUAAACAUGAGUAUGUACAGAGAUGAGGGUCUCCAUGAGUGAGAGAUUAUGCUUGUAGAUGUGAGCAUUCAUACAUGUGUACUUAGUUCUGUGUGGGCCUCCUCUGCCUCUCUGCAUGCAGCACAACCAAUAAAUCAAAGACUUUGUUCUCAGAGGCUCUAUUGCUGCCCUGAGAGCCUGUUACCAAGGCUCAAAGGGUAUGUGAGCAAGAGAGAGAUGUGAGAAGGCUGGGCUACACUUGUUAGGCAGGAAGGUCAACUGUGUUUGGAAGAGGGGUGGAAGCUUCCUUGGAUUCUUCUAUGUAGGAAACCAUGAGAUUGUCCAUCAGUUUAAUCAUCCUUACACCCAAGAAGCUGCAUCACAUACUGUUUUGCAGGUGUGUAUUGUUGUGAGCAUGGGUGAAAACAGGGCUUUUCACAGAGCAGCUCCCAGGAUAAAUAAAACAUAGAUUUCUGGAUAGGUCAAAGCUGUAGGCAUUUUGAUGGGAUAGCUCAUUUCAACUUACUUCAAGUUGUACAACAAUCUACCUACCCAUUUGGUUCUCACUGUUUACAGUUCUGUUCCCUAUCUUCUGCUUCCAUCAGUAUCUUUUCAUACUCCUGCAUCUGCUUUUCUCCCCUCUGUCUGUCUCCUGCCCUGGUCAAUCCCAGUAGUUUUUUUUGUUUGUUUGUUUGUUUUCUUUUUUGACUUGCCUAUUAGCUGUCAGAUAUUUAUAAUUAGCAAUCAGCAGUAAGAUAGUGCUAGAGUAUCUCUUGGGUUGCCACCAGGCAAAGACACUCAUGUUUUGAGCAGCUAUAGAUCAACAAAAUGUAAAAUCUAAAAUACAGUGAUGGUUCAGAAAUGAUAGCAUCAAACUCCUGCCAUCACUUAGCUCUUUGUCAGUACAGAUUUAACAAUUGAAAAUACCGAGAUGCACCUUCAUAUACAGUAUGGAAUGUCACCUAAACAAUGGGUGGAUAUGUGCACACAGCAUGCAAAUGUGGAGGUCGGAAGACAAUUUCCGAUGUUGCUCUAUGU